GACGAACGCUGGCGGCGUGCUUAACACAUGCAAGUCGAACGGAAAGGCCCUGCUUUUGUGGGGUGCUCGAGUGGCGAACGGGUGAGUAACACGUGAGUAACCUGCCCUUGACUUUGGGAUAACUUCAGGAAACUGGGGCUAAUACCGGAUAGGAGCUCCUGCUGCAUGGUGGGGGUUGGAAAGUUUCUGCGGUUGGGGAUGGACUCGCGGCUUAUCAGCUUGUUGGUGGGGUAGUGGCUUACCAAGGCUUUGACGGGUAGCCGGCCUGAGAGGGUGACCGGCCACAUUGGGACUGAGAUACGGCCCAGACUCCUACGGGAGGCAGCAGUGGGGAAUAUGGCACAAUGGGCGGAAGCCUGAUGCAGCAACGCCGCGUGCGGGAUGACGGCCUUCGGGUUGUAAACCGCUGUCGCCUGUGACGAAGCGGGAGUGACGGUAAUGGGUAAAGAAGCACCGGCUAACUACGUG
rnacentral:rRNA from 1 species